AAAAAAAAAAAAAAGCUGGACCAUACCAGACCUAGUCCUAUUUGAAUCAUAUUUAAAUAUGAUUCUCUGCUCAAGAUGACAAUUUGCAUGCAACAUGUUUCAGAAGCCCAUCUGGUGUUACAAAAUCCACUGUGGUUUCAACCUGUCCUUUCAAUCAACCAUCCUGGUUGGAUUAUAAAGACUUUACAAUAAAAAUCAUAGGAAUAAUAAGGAUAAUAGAAUUGACACAGUAGAAAAAACAAAACGAGGAACCAGAUAGUAAAGGAGGUGGCAGAAAAAUCUAUAUAUUGAACAACACAACUUUUGGCCGAGGAGGACUAUAAAACUGAGCCUAAUCUUUGGUCUUAGCAUCCCAUCAGCCUGGGAGGGAAAAUAAUGCCCUGAAUGAGCACCAGGCAUCCCAUUCAGGUCCCAUCAGAAGUUUUCAUGGGCCGAUCUGCUGAGUUCAGCCUAGGAGCUGAGGCCAACAUCUGAGUCUCCUCAGCACUCAAGUUUGAGAGAAGUCCUAGUGACUUCAAGCUCGGAACUAACGCGGCAGCGGCUCCCUCUCGACGUUGAAGC
rnacentral:lncRNA from 10 species